rnacentral:rRNA from 1 species
UACGUAGGGCGCAAGCGUUGUCCGGAAUUAUUGGGCGUAAAGAGCUCGUAGGCGGUUUGUCGCGUCUGCUGUGAAAACCUAAGGCUCAACCUUGGGCUUGCAGUGGGUACGGGCAGACUAGAGUGCGGUAGGGGGUGACUGGAAUUCCUGGUGUAGCGGUGGAAUGCGCAGAUAUCAGGAGGAACACCGAUGGGCGAAGGCAGGUCACUGGGCCGCAACUGACGCUGGAGGAGCGGAAAAGCCAUGGGGGAGCGAACAGG